rnacentral:tRNA from 1 species
GAUCGUGUGGCCUAAUGGAUAAGGCGUCUGCCCCUCUAGCCGGAAAUUGCGGGUUCGAGUCCCGCCACGAUUG